CCUAAAUGGUCAAGCGCACACACAUUCGUUCUGACUGUCUUGCUCAGACCAACAGCCUCACCUGUUGUUCCUGUCAAUCAGACACGCAGUGUCAACCAAUGAACCAAAGAUGCGUGAGGGAGGCCAGAGCCAACUCACUCACAGUCACACACUUAGCAGCCGAGGAGAGAGAGGAAGGACAGCUGAGAAAACAAUGUUAUUGGUGUAAGAUGGCACAGUGCUGCCAUCUGUUGGUAAAUGUUAAUUACUGCAACUCCAGUGUUUUUACCGGUGUGCUUGAAAUACCCGGAUGUAUUGCAAUAUACUGAACAAGACUGGUUACUCGCAUCAAUGCCUCUGUCUCGUCAUUUAACAUUCAAACAUGGUGUCAGAGUCACCUGUUCUGGUUUACCCCCCAACAAUGCUUAUUUGAGUAAAACUUCGCCGGACGCCGGAAUUGUCCUUAGCUAGAGUGAGUUUGCUAGUUAGCUUCAGUGUUGUUAGCACCGGUUAGACAUGGCAGCGAACAUUCCCUCUCCCGCCGUUAUGAAGCACAAACUGGGAUACGUUUAGAGGUGAAUGGGAGGACUAUGCACUAGCAACGGGACUUCGGGAAAAGGACGAUGAGGUAGUGGCUGCCACUUUGACGACUAUAAUGGGAACUGAAUGCCGACACGUAUACAAACAACCUGAACCUAACAGCAGCUCAGCAAGUUUCCCUGGCACACAAAAGUACUUGUUUCAUUUCAAAUGCUGAGCCGGACAGGAAAAUGGUCCAAUUCACACACUUAUCAAGAGAACAUCCCUGGUCAUCCCUACUGCCUCAGAUCUAGCGGACUCGCUAAACACAUGCUUCAUUUGUAAAUGAUGUCUGAUUGUUGGAGUGUUCCCCUGGUUAUUUCUUAAAUAAAAUAACAGAAUCGUGCUGUCUGGUUUGCUUAAUAUAUGGAAGGUCAAAUAAUGUAUACUUUUACCACUGAUACUUAAGUAUAUUUUAGCAAUGACAUUUACUUAGUAUUUUACUGGGUGACUUUCACUUUUACUUGAGUCAUUUUCUAUUAAAGUCAUCUUAUUAUUGUACCUUAUUCCCUUCAUUUGCCUACUACUGUCUAUAAGCUAUCAUAACAUGUGGGUUUUUUCUUGGGGACCAGGUAUCGGAACACCUUUGAAGGGUCUACAAAGCAUGCCCCCAGGUAAAAGUUGCCUUUUGCAGAGAUAGUAUCAAAUCCAUCUUAAAGUUUGUUACUCCAUGACAUCUGAUAUCGCAACACUAUUGAAAUGACAUACUUUACAAUGUGACUGGAGUCUUAGACCAUUUUUUUUGCUCUUCCUCUGACACCGCCUAGUAUAUACAGUAGAUCCUGG
rnacentral:lncRNA from 1 species